rnacentral:piRNA from 1 species
CCAGAAGAGUGGCACAGGACUGGCU